GAUGAACGCUAGCUACAGGCUUAACACAUGCAAGUCGAGGGACCGGCGCACGGGUGAGUAACACGUAUACCACCCGCCCUUUACUCGGGGAUAGCCUUUCGAAAGAAAGAUUAAUACCCGAUGUAUAGGAUGGGGAUGCGUUGCAUUAGGUUGUUGGUGAGGUAACGGCUCGACAAGCCUUCGCUGGCUAGGGGGUUGGAGAGGAAGGUCCCCCACACUGGAACUCGGACACGGUCCAAACUGGGACGGGAAGCAGCGGUGAGUAAUAUAGGUCAAGAGGCGUUAGCCUGAAACAGCCAAGUAGCGUGAAGGAUGAUGGGUUAUGGGUCGUAAGCUUCUUGUAUAUAAGAAUAUGUAUUAUAUGAAUAAGGAUCGGCUAACUCCGUGCCAGCAGCCGCGGUAAUUC
rnacentral:rRNA from 1 species